CCGGGGCGAGCAGCGCUAGAACCCGGGUUGGGCGGGCAGCCGGCCUUCGGGGAUGACGCGGCAGUGCGGCCUCCCUGCUCUCCCGCGCCUUCCGGCGGAGGUGCGCACGCGGCCCCGUGGUCCUGGGUUCCCCGGUGGAGUCGUCGGUCUGCGCCCAGGACUGCGAUCCGGGUCCGGGGCUGCCGCGCGGUUUGGGUGCGGAUUGUGUUUGGCCAGGGAAAACACUCGAUUGUACAGAGGUGAGAAGGGAGGAAACCAGACUACUGAAAUGAAGACAGAAGAAAGAUCUGGGGACUUAGACCACACAUUCACCUGGGAUGGCACUGAAGGAGGGACCGUAGCAGGUCAUGGGAGUCACUUGGAGGACCAGACACUUGACGGUUCCCUGUGACGGCAGAGGUUGUGGGCUCUACAGAGGGGCUGUUUGUCUCCCAGAAGAGCUUCCUUUUGGUCAGUCAGGCCGUGAUUUAAGACAGUAACGUGACCUCUUUGUCAAGAGCAGAGCUGAAUGGGAACCUUCAUCAAAUCACCAAUGUUGACUUCACCAGCCGCAAAUGUGUAGCCUCCUUUUAUUUGGUCUUGACUGCUCAUUCCCAUUCCCUCACUUUGC